CGCACGCCUCGCACUCGCAUGCCUCAAUGAAAAAAGACCAGCGAAAAAAGACCUACGAAAGAAAAAACAACGACAAAAAAUCAGGCGACUCGCACGCACGAGCGAGGCCUAUCCCGUCGCCACCGCCCGACGCCGCCAGCCCCGGCCUCCUCCCUGGCUCCCAGCGCCGCCCGCCCCCCAUCUCCUCCUGCGAUCCUGGCGUCGCCCCGCCCCACCUUCUCCCUCACUUCCGGCGCUACCUAUCGAUCCCCUCGACGACACAGAGCCGCCGUCCUCUCGUGCGAUCUCGCAGCCGCAUCCGCCAACGCCGAUCCGGGCAGACGCGGCCGUCGUGGAUCACGAGGAUCCGGAUGAUGGGGGCGUGGAGAUGGCCAUGGAUCUGUUACAACGACGACGGCGCCGGAUCCGCACCCGCAACAUCCGGAUGGAGGCCGGCGACGAACCCUAGCCUAGCCGUCAGCAUCGGGAUCCAACCCCUUCUCUCGGUGUUGGGGCAAGGCGUAUGGGGGUGCUUGUUGCGGCGGUGGACCUCGACCCGGCGACAUCUGCAGCAUCUCCCUCCCGUCGGGCUGCAGGACCUGUACGCCCAAGGGAUGUGAUGUAUGCACCUCAUGGUACACAUAGGGUUUUGAUUUGCUUUCCUUGACUGCAGAAGAUGUUAUUAUGAUGAGCCAGGUCAUGGUACACAGGCUAACUAAACAAGCUUCUGUUGUUUUAUUGUUGGUCGUUCCCGUCCACUGCUGCCAACAGUCAAUUUUCUGCAGGGUUUUUAUUUCUUUCUCUUCCAUCGAAAGCUCCUUUUUGCCACUGAUUAAUUAGUUGAUGCAUGUGGAGAUUUUCGAUACUAGGAGAACCAAGUUUAAACAUGUGCAAUUCCAUCUAUCUAGCAUCAAUUUCGGGUGAGGUUAGACUACAAGAAAGACUAGAUAUUAAGCUUGUUCAUUCUAUCUACACCUUUUGAAUCUGAAGUGACUACUGUUGUAAAUAAUGCUACUUGAGUACCUGGUUGAUUGGUUUUGUUUAUUGUGGCAUUGAGUAGCCUACUACAUUAGUGGUGUCAGCUAUAUUUUGUAAGUUUGUUAUCGAUUCAAUUUAGUUAUUUGUGUGUGUGAUUGAAAAAUAAUGGUUUACAUAUGAAUUGCUACAGUUUUAUAUAAUACUCUUUGAUCUGUGCUGCUAGGUCUGCUACUGCGUGCAUGACAACAUGAGGUGUCGCAAUCGGUGCGGUAUGCUGGUGAUAGAUGUUCUCGAUUGUGAUGCCCAAGCCUGUCUGCCGCAAUUGUGUGUUCGUUACUGCUGAGGUUAGAAAAAGCAUACAUCAAUUUUUCUCCUGCAAUUGUACGGUCGUUUCUGCUUUAGUUUAGAAAAACAUAAAACUGAGUUAUUUUUGCCUUUGGCAGACAGUCAUCCUACUUCGUAGUAAUCUGUGCCUUUCGUAUUUGCAUACUAAUCACGAGCCUUUUCUUCAUAAUGCUAAAUUUUGAAUUGCUUUGGCUCUAUAAUUUGUUUGAACUGAUCAUUUAAGAAUUUCAGAUAAGCGCAUCCAGAUCUUUUGACCCUUCCACGAAAAGGUGUAACAUGGUAAAUUUGUCGCAACAAGCAGCAUGGCAUUCUUGAUAGCUUUUCUCCCUAUUAUGACUUGCAUCUUUCUACCUUGCCCCAAAUUAAAUUUGAUUGGGACUGUUUGAUUGAAUGUCAAAUAAAGAUCAACUUUAUCUCUGAUCGAUUCAUGGAAAUGGAAACUGAAUAAUAUUCUGAUUAUUACUUGCAUGCUAUAUUCACUGUUUUUGGUUUAACAACUUGCAAGUGUUUCUUUUAAUCCGCAGAAAAAGGACUCACGGGUGGACAUCUGCUAUAAAUUACCUAGGCCUGGUCAUCUGCGUGAGUUGCAUCUGUCAUUUUUCUUCCCAGGUAGAACAUUAGUUUUGAUUAAAAACAAGGUAGAACAUUAGUGUUCUCCACAGUUUGAUGGGAACACUUUGACUUUCUGUAACCCCUAGAUUUGGUAUUUCCUGAUGAUUGCUUGCGGUUCUUCUUACUUUCUGGUAUAAAUAGAGAAAAAUGAGGAUAUUGUAGUUAUUUUAGAAUGUUCAAGAUUUAGGUGUCCAUACUGUGCUAACUAUGGUCUGAAUUGUUUUGCGGAAUCAUGAUGUCAUGUCGUGAUUACACAAUUCCAAGCUGUGGUUCAGAAGCACACUUCGCUAAAAUACACAUAAUGGUUUUUUUGGGUUUUCUUCUCACAAUAUAUGUACGUAAAUCAUGUAAUUUGCAACCUUGGUAAGUGCACCUCGAGCUGGUUGAAACAUGCCUGUUCCAAUCAUGAACGGACAUGAAGGCAGCCGGUGGGAUUUACUAUUGCGUCUCGACCUACUCGGAGCAGGAGAGGCCAGGCUGUGGCAGCCGCGGUCGUGGCGUCGUGCAUGUGGCAUCGACGCAGGUGAGAAUACAUCCAUGGCAGUCUCGUGGGCCGAGCGUCAAGGUGAUGGUAGCCGACCCUCCACGCCCCCUCUAGGGAUGGGAAGUGGCGGGCAGAGUACCUCCCCCGCGCAUGUCAGAGUUGCAAACACUUUCAAUUUCAACUGUGUGGUGAUCAGGACAUUCUGUGUUGCUUGGACAACCGAGCUAAGACGGCGAUGCCACCACCUACUUGUAUCUGUACAGGACCUCCGGUGAUUAUUUCUUUUUCAAAAAUGAAGAAGCUUGUCGUUCAACCGAUGACAAAACACCUAGAGUACGUGCAAAAAUUACUACUUCCUCAUUUACAGCAAACUCAUUGAUACGACAAAGGCAAAAUUUUGGGUGGCAAGGUAUAUGAUUAGAUCAUGUGUAAUCUUCUAGAUGCAUUUUUCUAUUCUUCCAUUGUGUUCUUUAGACAUGCCUCUUUUUGUUAUUUUACAUCAGUUAACUGAAGUUCAUAUUAUUCCUUUAUCUGAUUGUAGCUUCAAAGUUUGAUUACAGCAGAGUCAUUGAUACAACAUACACAGUUUGUGAAUUUACCUACUACUACGAGUUACGUCAUAUAGCAAUGUUUUCUUGCCUAGAAAAAUAUUACAUGAAAGGCCUAAUGUCUUGUGAAUGUGUAUAGUAGCUACGAGUAGGUGGUCAAACUGUACACCUUUAAAGCAUGAAUAAGGUGCUAACUUAUGUGCUGCAGUUGCUUUGCAUUGUUCAGAUGCAAUGUGUUUUCGCUCAGCGGGAGCACUUCUUCUGAUUAUUUAUAAUUUUUAGUUUGCUUCUUAUAAUUUUAAGACAAUUUUUGCGACUUGGAAUGUAUAGCAUCCCCCUUUUCUCACUGGAAAUGACAUGUAAGAACAAACCAGUUCCAGUUCUGGCAUAGUUCUGAUGGUUGAAGUGUAUGUCUAUAUGAUUUAGUAUAUGCAUGGGAGUACCCGCUAAACGAUGAAGCAUAUUGUGUCGUGUUAGCUCCAUCUAGCUUUAUUAUCUUGAAUUUUGUAUCUAGCUUUUGUAUGUUGUAUUCCCUUUCACCGCGUCUACAUACUUGAUGAAGCUUUUUUCUGAUUGCAAAGUAUGUGCAAGUCAGUAGUGAACACUCUAUAUCGUUGUUCCAGAAAAGCAAGAUUCAGCAAUUUCCGCAACAUUUCAUGUCCGUUCCAUGUAGUAGUUUUUGCGCAAUUAUAUUGAUUUCCUUUUACCUUCAUAUUUGCUUAGUUUUCUUAUAGCAAACACAAAAAGCUUUGUGUCUUGAAGCAUUGAUAGAAGCGAACAUAAUUCAUGAUACAAGCCUAAUACUCUGAAAAUAUUUUUACGGUUCACUAUUCCUACGAGGGGAGUGAGUGGAGACAGCCAUGAGUGGCUCAACAUGUCGAGCAGCGGCCGCCUAUGAGGGGAGUGAGUGGAGACGCGCAAAUAUGUGUGGUGGAGGGGCAACGGAAGCUUGAACGGAAGAUUCGUCGCCAACAUCGAAGAAAUCUAUGGCCUGAUCGACCCUAAAGCUCCUGCAUGGACGCGAAGGUGACCGGGGGCAGAUUGCCGACAUUUGCCACACUAUGGGCAAUCUAUGUGAUGAUCUGCUCUCCGCAAUCGGAAUGAGCGGCAAGAUCUCUUCGGGAAUGGCUGAUGAGGAAGAAUUGACUGCGGGGGAAUGGUGGAUCUAGGUGGAGUUCGCUUUAGCCAGUGAGGGACGAGCUUUAGUUGUGUAGGGGAAGGGAAGCCACAUGCAUGAGUCAGACAUAAUAAAUCGGCUCGAAAAUGACUCUGUUAGUCCAGAAUCUCGUCUUGGCCGACCCAUAUGGUGGUCUGACAUUCGAUCCGGUGUGAAAGUGCCUCACAUAGUCAUGUUUCAUGGACUUCAGAUGUGGGCCAUAUUCACUGUUCAAAAGAAGCAUACAUAGAUUAUUAGUGGCCUAUGUGUGUUGGGCUGUAAAUCCCGGGGCAACUUGAUGGGAGGGAUAACGAGCACACAUGUGCUCCAACACAUAAUAGAGUGCAUAUAACAUGGCUUUCUCACGACUUUAUGCCACUAAUAAGAAGUCCUUUCAUUUUAGAUCAUGAGUUGAUGAAAUUUAUUCCUCAAUAUAUAUGAUAAUUUAGGAUGUAA
rnacentral:rRNA from 1 species